rnacentral:miRNA from 1 species
GCUGGUGAAGAUUUGGUG